AACGCACGAGACCUGCGGACCUGCGGAGGGAUCAUUACCGAGUUAUCCAACUCCCAACCCCUGUGAAUUAUACCUUUAAUUGUUGCUUCGGCGGGACUUCGCGCCCGCCGGGGACCCAAACCUUCUGAAUUUUUUAAUAAGUAUCUUCUGAGUGGUUAAAAAAAUGAAUCAAAACUUUUAGCAAUGGAUCUCU
rnacentral:misc_RNA from 1 species